CCCGUCAAGCCAUGGAAGCCGGGGGUGGCCUGAAGUGCGUGACCGCAAGGAGCGCCCUAAGGUAAAACCGGUGACUGGGGCUAAGUCGUAACAAGGUAUC
rnacentral:rRNA from 1 species